rnacentral:rRNA from 1 species
CAGCCGCCACGGUAAUACGUAGGUGGCGAGCGUUGUCCGGAUUUAUUGGGCGUAAAGGGAGUGUAGGCGGUCUUUUAAGUCUGAUGUGAAAGCCCACGGCUCAACCGUGGAGGGUCAUUGGAAACUGGGAGACUUGAGUGCAGAAGAGGAGAGCGGAAUUCCAUGUGUAGCGGUGAAAUGCGUAGAUAUAUGGAGGAACACCAGUGGCGAAGGCGGCUCUCUGGUCUGUAACUGACGCUGAGGCUCUAAAGCGUGGGGAGCAAACAGGAUUAGAUACCCCGGUAGUCCCUGUCUCUUAUAC